UCAACGGCGACGGGGACACGCGGGGAGGCAGGCAGGCGAGUGAGUUCGCCGUCGACGGCGCCGGAGGGAUGCGAUUUGAGGACUCGAUUUAAGAACCGGUACAGAGGCAAACUAGCUGCGAUGUCCCCCACAGACAGGUCAACAAGAAACAUCAACAACAUUAUGGACAAGCAGGAUCAAAUGAGGCCUGAAUAUAGCCUGAUAAUGCAGUUUGCAUCCUGCUAGUGUUCCAUGUAUUCCAUGUAGACCAUUUGCUUCACAUGUCAGCGACGAGCUUGCCGUACUGAUCCAGAGCCAGAUCAAAUGAAGUGAGCGAGUGAGGAACCAGAGAGACCUGCAUCUCUUCUGCAGCAUUGGGUAGAUCCUUUUUAACCGGCACGACCUGCGCGUACAGUUUAAAUGUUGUUCAAAAAUCCAGUUUGUAAUGUAAAGAACAGGUCUGAAACUGAAGCAGACGUCUUCUCUGC